rnacentral:tRNA from 1 species
GGCUGUAGCUCAGUGGAAAAGUGCUUGCCUUGCAUGUGUGAGGAACUGGGUUCAAUCCUCAGCAACACA